AGGUGGGCUUGAUUCAAACGACCACCAACUCUCAGCAAGCCAAAACUGUCGAUAACUGGAUUUAAGUUGGCAAGAGGACUUUUUAAAGGAAUCUGCUGUUUGUUGUACAAGCACUUCCAUUCUAUGUUGAAAUUUUCCUGCUGGACAUGACGUAUUAUGAGGUACUCACUAUGAGAGAUGUUCUCAGCAGAGAAGGG